GCGAUGAACCAGAUUCCCGCGCUGUGGGUAAAACCGCGGUGAGGAAAGUCCGGGCUCCGCAGGGCAUGAUGCCGGGUAACUCCCGGGCGGCGGGGGUAAUCCUUCGCCGACAGACAGCGCAACAGAAAGUAAACCGCUUUGGGUUUAACCCCCAAGAAUAGGGCUUCGCCGUAUUCUUGAAAGUGUUUUUUUGGUUAACCAAAAAAACACUAAGUAAGGGUGAAAGGGCGGUGUAAGAGACCACCGCGGCGGCGGUAACGUCACCGGCACGGCAAGCCUCAUCAGGAGCAAAGUCAAGCAGCGCCAUGAAAAGGCAAAAGCUUUUUCGGCCAAAGCCCGUUGGUUUAGGCGCGGGUAGACCGCUCGGGACCUGGUCCCGGGAGGCCUUUUGUAAGAAAGGUUCAAGAUAGAUGGGAAUCGGCGGCGUAAAACCGUCACAGAACCCGGCUUAUGGUUCAUCGUUUUU
rnacentral:RNase_P_RNA from 1 species